AACGAACGCUGGCGGCAGGCUCAACACAUGCAAGUCGAACGGGUGUAGCAAUACAUCAGUGGCAGACGGGUGAGUAACACGUGGGAACCUUCCUAGGGGUACGGAACAACUCAGGGAAACUUGAGCUAAUACCGUAUACGUCCGUGAGGAGAAAGAUUUAUCGCCCUUAGACGGGCCCGCGUCGGAUUAGCUAGUUGGUGGGGUAACGGCCUACCAAGGCGACGAUCCGUAGCUGAUCUUAGAGGAUGAUCAGCCACACUGGGACUGAGACACGGCCCAGACUCCUACGGGAGGCAGCAGUGGGGAAUCUUGGACAAUGGGCGCAAGCCUGAUCCAGCCAUGCCGCGUGAGUGAAGAAGGUCUUCGGAUUGUAAAGCUCUUCUGCCAGGGACGAUAAUGACGGUACCUGGAGAAUAAGCCCCGGCAAACUUCGUGCCAGCCGCCGCCGUAA
rnacentral:rRNA from 1 species